AUCGGGAUAAGAUCACGGCAAAUCUCGAGUUAGUGGAGGGAUUUGAGAACGCAUCCAAGGAGGCUGCAUCUGUCUACAUUUCGCAGGAGGAGGAACAAACCGAGCCAGACCCUCACAUGCUUUCUGCAGAGGAGAACAUCAAUCUCACACAGAACCUGAUGGGUCAUAAUAGGAGAGGAAGAUAUCCUCUGCAUGGUGUCGGAGCUUCACCCGGUAUAAGCAUUAGAUCGUCCACAACAUCCUCC